rnacentral:rRNA from 1 species
UACGUAGGGUGCAAGCGUUAAUCGGAAUUACUGGGCGUAAAGCGUGCGCAGGCGGCUUUGCAAGACAGAUGUGAAAUCCCCGGGCUUAACCUGGGAACUGCAUUUGUGACUGCAUGGCUGGAGUGCGGCAGAGGGGGGUGGAAUUCCACGUGUAGCAGUGAAAUGCGUAGAUAUGUGGAGGAACACCGAUGGCGAAGGCAGCCCCCUGGGCUAACACUGACGCUCAUGCACGAAAGCGUGGGGAGCAAACAGG